rnacentral:rRNA from 1 species
UGGGGAAUAUUGCACAAUGGGCGAAAGCCUGAUGCAGCGACGCCGCGUGAGCGAAGAAGUAUUUCGGUAUGUAAAGCUCUAUCAGCAAGGAAGAUAAUGACGGUACUUGACUAAGAAGCCCCGGCUAACUACGUGCCAGCAGCCGCGGUAAUA